CCUACGGGGUGCAGCAGUGGGGAAUAUUGGGCAAUGGGCGCAAGCCUGACCCAGCAACGCCGCGUGAAGGAAGAAGGCUUUCGGGUUGUAAACUUCUUUUCUCAGGGACGAAGCAAGUGACGGUACCUGAGGAAUAAGCCACGGCUAACUACGUGCCAGCAGCCGCGGUAAUACGUAGGUGGCAAGCGUUAUCCGGAUUUACUGGGUGUAAAGGGCGUGUAGGCGGGAAAGCAAGUCAGAUGUGAAAACCAUGGGCUCAACCUGUGGCCUGCAUUUGAAACUGUUUUUCUUGAGUACUGGAGAGGCAGACGGAAGUCCUAGUGUAGCGGUGAAAUGCGUAGAGAUUAGGAGGAACACCAGUGGCGAAGGCGGUCUGCUGGACAGCAACUGACGCUGAGGCGCGAAAGCGUGGGGAGCAAACAGGAUUAGAUACCCUUGUAGUC
rnacentral:rRNA from 1 species